CAAAAGGAUACUGAAGCAAGACCCCUACUCGUCUUUGUGAUUUCUUGUUUUAAAAAGAAGUGGGAGGGAGAAAAGAAGAUUAAAUGUCCUUCGGUGGCUAUCCCCAUGUGUCACAUGGCAAGGCAUGAGUCCAGUCUGUUGUUCUGCAUGACUACAACAUAGUUUAUGUUCUUCUCCAGUGUGGUGCUCAAAAUUCUCCAGUUGUAGCCUGACAGGUGCAGACUGGAACGGGAUGUUCACCUUCUUUGGUGUAUGUAUUAUAACUGUACCAGUCCAAAUUCAAUGAGCACCAUUAAUUCCUAUAGUCCUGUCAACUAAAGUUCCAUUUUAAUGAGAUUCACUACUGUAUCUUCUCCAUCCUGUUCUUCUGGUCUCAAAGGCAGGAAUUUUGACUCAUUUCAAUUUG
rnacentral:lncRNA from 1 species